rnacentral:misc_RNA from 1 species
GUGAGAGAGCUUCUUCAGAAAAGCAAUCUGAAAUGCAUGCUGCGGAAAGGGAAUUAUUAGCUAAUAUUUCUGCUAGUAAAGAACUUGGUUGUAGUGGCACUGGAAAAUCAGAGAUACCUUCUGCAGAUAUUGGUCCUGAUAUGCCUGACACUAGGGUUAGUUCUAAGGAAAUUCAAGAAACUAUAUUGCCCCCUCCAAAGUCUACUAAGUCGGUCA